rnacentral:rRNA from 1 species
GUACGGGAGGCAGCAGUAAGGAAUAUUGGACAAUGGGCGCAAGCCUGAUCCAGCCAUGCCGCGUGCAGGAUGACGGUCCUAUGGAUUGUAAACUGCUUUUAUACAGGAAGAAACACUCCGACGUGUCGGAGCUUGACGGUACUGUAAGAAUAAGGAUCGGCUAACUCCGUGCCAGCAGCCGCGGUAAUACGGAGGAUCCAAGCGUUAUCCGGAAUCAUUGGGUUUAAAGGGUCCGUAGGCGGUUUGGUAAGUCAGUGGUGAAAGCCCAUCGCUCAACGGUGGAACGGCCAUUGAUACUGCCAGACUUGAAUUACUGGGAAGUAACUAGAAUAUGUAGUGUAGCGGUGAAAUGCUUAGAGAUUACAUGGAAUACCAAUUGCGAAGGCAGGUUACUACCAGUGGAUUGACGCUGAUGGACGAAAGCGUGGGUAGCGAACAGGAUUAGAUACCCGAGU